CCAGUGCUUGCACUGGUACUCGAGUGGCGAACGGGUGAGUAACACGUGGGUGAUCUGCCCUGCACUUCGGGAUAAGCCUGGGAAACUGGGUCUAAUACCGGAUAGGACCACAUUUUGGAUGGUGUGGUGGAAAGUUUUUCGGUGUGGGAUGAGCUCGCGGCCUAUCAGCUUGUUGGUGGGGUAAUGGCCUACCAAGGCGUCGACGGGUAGCCGGCCUGAGAGGGUGUACGGCCACAUUGGGACUGAGAUACGGCCCAAACUCCUACGGGAGGCAGCAGUGGGGAAUAUUGCACAAUGGGCGCAAGCCUGAUGCAGCGACCCCGCGUGGGGGAUGACGGCCUUCGGGUUGUAAACUCCUUUCGCUAGGGACGAAGCUUAUUUGUGACGGUACCUGGAGAAGAAGCACCGGCUAACUACGUGCCAGCAGCCGCGGUAAUACGUAGGGUGCGAGCGUUGUCCGGAAUUACUGGGCGUAAAGAGCUCGUAGGUGGUUUGUCGCGUCGUUUGUGUAAGCCCGCAGCUUAACUGCGGGACUGCAGGCGAUACGGGCAUAACUUGAGUGCUGUAGGGGAGACUGGAAUUCCUGGUGUAGCGGUGGAAUGCGCAGAUAUCAGGAG
rnacentral:rRNA from 1 species